AGUGAACGUUGGCGGCGUGGAUUAGGCAUGCAAGUCGAGCGGAAAGGCCCCGCAAGGGGUACUCGAGCGGCGUAAGGGAUAGUAACACGUGGGUAACCUACCUCCGGGACUGGGAUAGCUGCGGGAAACUGCAGGUAAUACCGGAUAACGUCCCCGGACCAAAGGUGUGAUUCCGCCCGGAGAGGGGCCCGCGUCCUAUUAGCUAGUUGGCAGGGUAAAGGCCUACCAAGGCUAAGAUGGGUAGGGGGUGUGAGAGCAUGACCCCCAUCACUGGGACUGAGACACUGCCCAGACACCUACGGGUGGCUGCAGUCGAGAAUCUUCGGCAAUGGGCGCAAGCCUGACCGAGCGACGCCGCGUGCGGGAUGAAGGCCCUCGGGUUGUAAACCGCUGUCAGAGGGAAAGAAAUGCCAUGGGGUUCUCUUCAUGGUUUGACUGACCCUCAGAGGAAGUACGGGCUAAGUUCGUGCCAGCCGCCGCUGUAAUAC
rnacentral:rRNA from 1 species